rnacentral:lncRNA from 10 species
GGAAAUUGCAAGUAAAAUCAAGCAUUGAAGUUUUUAGGCAGUGGAAAGGAGCUUGUGUUCCCAGAGAAAUGGAAAUCCUUGGAGAAUGUUUGUCUGCAUGAUAUUUGGUACCUGGCGUAUCUAAACCCAGGUUUAGCAAUCAAAACUGCUCAGGCCACUGUAAAAGGGGAGGAUGUGUGCUAGAGCUAGAGAAACACAACUGAAAAGUGACAACUGGAGAUGCUGAUCAGCGGUGCAGAUUGAUUUCAAAAGUGAGUGAGAUGUCUUGUGCUUUGCAGUCUCAGGACUAAAGACUACAGAACGCUGGCUUGGUACCUAUGACUUCCAACAGCAGCAUUAGUGCCAUUCUCCAAGUCAAAGACAGCAAGUUGCAAAUAAAAUUUGGAACUGAGGUUUCAGGCAAAAGAAAGAAACAAGAUCGCACUAUGUUCCCCAGGAUGGUCUCAAACUGGACUCAAGCAACCCUGCCUCAGCCUUCCAAAGUGCUGUGAUUACAGG